GAGCGGYAAAAGCUCAAAUUUGAAAUCUGGUACYUUCGGUGCCCGAGUUGUAAUUUGKAGARGGYRWCUUUGGGGCCGUCCCUUGYCUAUGUUCCUUGRAACAGGCCGUCAUAGAGGGGGAGAAUCCCGUGUGGGAGGGAGUGUGGUUCUUUGUAAAGUGUUUUCAAAAAGUCWUGUUGUUUGGAAUUGCACUUCUAAGGGGGGGGUAAAUUCCAUCUAAAGCUAAUUAUUGCCAAGAGACCGAUGGCRAACAAGUCCRGGGAUGGAAAGAUGAAAAAAACUUUGAAAAKARAGUGAAAAAUUMCGUGAAAUUGUUGAAAGGAAAGGCCUUUUGAUCGAACUUGGKGUUUUGYGCCCUCUGCUCCUUGYGGGGGGGGGAACCUCUCAUUUCACUGGGCCRGCCUCCRUUUUGGUGGGGGGAUAGAUCAAUMGGAAUGAAGCUUGCCUCCRACAGUAUGAUAGCCKGUGCCAAAACUGCCAUUUGGGACUUUGGACUGUCACUUUCCGCAAGGAUGGUGGCAUAAUGGUUAUAUGCCYCCCGUCUUAAA
rnacentral:rRNA from 1 species